rnacentral:rRNA from 1 species
AACGAACGCUGGCGGCGUGCUUAACACAUGCAAGUCGAACGUGAAAGGCUUCGGCCGAGUAAAGUGGCGCACGGGUGAGUAACGCGUGGGUAAUCUGCCCUUGGGCGGGGGAUAACCUCUCGAAAGGGGGGCUAAUACCGCAUGAGACCACGGCUUCUCGGGGCUGUGGGAAAAGGUGGGUCGCAAGGCCUGCCACCUGAGGAUGAGCCCGCGUACCAUUAGGUUGUUGGUGGGGUAAUGGCCUACCAAGCCGAAGAUGGUUAGCUGGUCUGAGAGGAUGAUCAGCCACACUGGAACUGAGACACGGUCCAGACUCCUACGGGAGGCAGCAGUGGGGAAUCUUGCGCAAUGGGCGAAAGCCUGACGCAGCGACGCCGCGUGGGUGAUGAAGGCCUCGGUU